UUAAAAACCAAAUAAGUAAAUAAAUAAAUAGGAAAAAAAAGUUAGGGUUUCAAUGUAACCUUAAAUCUUAAUAAGUCUAUGUCCUGGUUUUCUCAGGUUAAAUGAGCUUGAUGGACCCUCCACGCUCCCCAGCAUGGUUGUGAGACUAUUGGAGUAAAUUUAGUUGGUACAGACUGUGGUCUUGCCCCUUAUCAGCGGCAUUCUAAGAACCCCCGACCCCACCAUGGAUGCCUGAAACCACGGAUAGUUUUGAAUUCUAUGGUUUUUCCUGUACAUAUAGAUACCAAAAUUGAAUUGACAAAUUAGGCAGAGAGAUUAACAACAACAGUAAUAAAGUAGAACAGUUACAACAAUAUACAGUAAUAAAAGUUAGGUGAAUGUUGUCUCUCUCUCUCUCCCUCAAAUGAUCUCACGGCACUGGACUCAAUCUUCUUUUUGUGAUGAGAAAUGAUGAUGAAAGAAGUGAUGAAAUGUCUGCGCCGUGAGAUGCAGUGAGAGGAGUGACACAAGCCUUAUGACAUCCUUCGCUGGGGCCCACCACAGGCCUGGGGACAACACACACUACUUCCACACUGCGGUUGACCGCGGGUGCCCCUAAGGAGGCAUUCUCCCUACCUGGGAAAGAGAAAGCAUCUGUCACGUGAUUAGCCUCUUGCUGAUGUGCACGUGUGAGUUCACCAAUCCGAGACCCGACUCACUUCCUAUUUCUGUAAAAUGUGGGCUAUUCAUACACACAGCCAGGGUGGCUGUGAGGGCGAAACACUGGAUGGCCAGUGGGCUUUUUGGCUAACAUUCACUGUGUCCUGUCCACAACGUCACAGCCCACGUUUCCAGGACCCUGUUACCUCUGUCUGUGGUUGGUCAAGAAGCAUCGAGUUCCCUCCUCCCCACCCCGUGACCACCUCCCACCCUCCAACUCAGUGCUAGACCUUCAACCCCUUGACAGUAAGGGCAAUCUGCUCUCCUUCCUCAUUCAUCGUACUUCUCCCUCCGGUGGCUCCUUGCCAGCCCCCUUCCCACUUGCAUUGCCCAGCCCUUGGGAAUCCUGAACCAAUCUGCAAUUCCUCUUCCUAGAAUCCCUCCCCAAGAGUUUGGAUCACAUGUGAAACAAGUUUAGCCAUUGUGCAAAUGAGUUCCGUGGCCAAGUUCCUAACACAGUCUGGUAAAAGCCAAGGGUGGGACUGGGAAAACAAAGUCAGCCUGACAACCCCACGGCGAGUAGGAGGGUAGGAAGGCUGUGUGAUCCAGAGGGAAACACACCAGACUAGGAGUUGGACGACCUCUGGCCCAGUGCUGGAAGCGCUGUGGGUCACACAUCUCACAUCUGUGGGCUUCAGUACCCCCACAGAGGAGCAGGUGGGGAAGUCAGGACCAAAUCAAGCAUGGCAAAAAGAAGGCACAGGUGCCCUUGUGUACUCACCCCUCCCACAUUCAAGGCAAACAUCCUUGAUCAGUCAGUCCCUCUUUCCUGCAGAACCCAGACUACAUCCAGCACUCCAGGCAGCCACCGUCCUGUAACUGGAGUUGGCACGGGUGACAAAAUCUCUUUGGUCCCCUUGAGCUACAGUCUAAAAUCUCCCUUAGUAUUUGAACAUUCUCUGCUUCUGUGACAUGAAUUUCCUCAAAGUACAAGUUUGCUGAUUGAUGAGCAUCCCCAGAAAAUGGGGCAUCAGGGCUUCCUAGAAAUCAGCCAGACACAACUACAGCCUAGUAUCCUCUCAUACUGCAGCUCUGGGCAGACUCCGGGAUGGAGGCCAGCAUGCCACACAAAAGGAAACCGAUCCUAACUGUAAGCCACAUUGGGGUUAAGCUGCCCAGCCCGUGCCCAUGCAGUGUGGGAUGGCCCUUUAAGGCUCAACACUGACUUUUUGUUAGGAUUUCCAAAGAACAUAUCCCAUGAGCCCCAUUUUACCGUGGAUAACCAGACUAAUUCCACAGAUUCUGCUGGGCUAAGUUUUUCCUUAGUUGCUAGCUUCAGUGUCUGCUUUGGCCUUCUGCCUCGCCUGUGAAGCCCUGGCCCAGUCUACUGUAGAUUCCACACUCUGUGACCUUGACUCAACUCCAUCUCUGCCUCCAGCCAUCUUGGACUGACGUGGUACCCCUUUCCCCGCCAGACCCAGAACUGCCCUGGGUGGCCUCAUCUGCCCUCGGCCUUACAUCUGAAAUGCAGCCUCUAAACGGAGUCUCCCCAGAUGCAGCUGACUUCUCACCAUUUUCCCCUUUGGCAUGCAAAUGACACCUAGCUCUGGGCACCCCAGAAAUGGUAACAACUCUCCUGGCCCUGCUGUGCCCGGAAAAUAGUGUUACCUUUCCUCCUCAACAGCCUUCAAUGCCAUCAGGAACUCCAUUUUCUUAUCUACAUUCCCUUACUUGGCUUCUCAGGACCUCUGUGACCAGCGAGUCCCAUGUCCUUCCCAGUACAUCCCUUCCCUGAAGCCAUCCUGAUCUUCCUACUGGGCCACUAGCCCCCAAGGCCUCUUCUACUCUGGGCUUCUAGACACCAUGUUCCUCUGCCAGGAACUUCCUAUCUUCUUUUUCAGGCCCCAAAUCUACCAAUUCUUCACAAUCCCGCUUACAUCCAACCUCCUCUGUGAGCCUUCCCUAGCCUAUGCCAGCCUGUUUUUCUCUAACAUUUCACUUUUUGCACCCAGCAAUCUAGUACUAAAUUACAUAUUACUUCACAGAAUUCACAAAUGUUUCAUCAGUGUCGGCCUUAACAUCUCAACCAGUGUGAAAGUUUUUUGAGGGCAAGAAGCUGCCACAUGACCUGAGUAGAUCUCACUGGUAACAUCACAGCAGAUCAACAAACACAACAAAUACUGAACACCCCUUCUAUGACAGAAUGCUUAGUAAAUGCUUGCUAACUCUUGGUUCUAACCACUGGGCGAGUCUCCUGAGAUGUAUCCCUCCAGUCCUUGCCAAUUUAUGUCCAAUCCAGACCAUAGCAGAUCCUCCUGGUCCUGAAUUAAAGAAAAGGUUAAAGUAAGACAGAGCCCAGGAAAGUAUCUGCCUAUUAGGCUUCAGCAGUGGGUUUGAAACUUUUAAGUAUGAGGAGACAUCUGGCAUAGUUUCUAGAAGAGCAGAUUCCCCAGCUGUACGGACACAGUCUCUGAAUCACAGGGUCUGGGGAGAGACCUGAAACGUGCAUUUUAAUAAGUGGCCUAGGUAAUUUGGAAGUUGACAGUUCAUCACCCAGAGAAAAAAUGGGCUAUGUUUUCCAGAGACAAUCUGCAGUGGGUGGGCAAAGUUGAUUGGGGUGGCCUGUGGCUGAGAAUUUCCUUAGCCUUUUCCUUGGUUAUGGUCCAACCGUGGUUACCAAAUCUCUGAGACGUUCCGCCAAAAGACCAUUUGGCCUCGAAGGAUCAUUUUUAUCUGCAGUGAUCUCCCUCCCAAAGGGCCUCUGCCUUUGGCCUGUCCUCACUGGAGGAAACCAGGCAACAAACCAUGCUCACUUAACCAGUUACAGUGUGGGGUUUACAGGCCUUUAUAACUCCUGCUCUGAAUCAGAAUGGAAUUAUGAAUAAUUUGUCUGAGGCCUGUCUCAUCUUGUUUGAGUCUUUCUUCAGCUCAUAGUUUUCGUUGUUUGCCUUUCAAGCACUGAUAUGCCUGUUGACAUUAACAGCUCCAAGUCUGGAGUACUACAUAUGCAGCCUUACACAGAACCUCGCUUCUCAGAGCUGACCUCUCAGUACGCUCUCAUAUUUAUCACCCAACAUGUCAGCAGGAAGGAAACAAGGAGGCUUUGGGACAGGCAGGGGGCAGAGGCCGGUAGGGUACCUCGACUCCCUUAGGUCCUGCUGGUACCUUGGCUGAGUAACUCUACUGUGUGUCCUAACACGUUAUAUACAGAUGCCUAAGGCCAAGUCAUUUUUCACAAUAACUUCUGAAGCAUUAUUAACACCCCUCCUGUUUAUACAUGGGGAUUUUGCAUGGUAAACAACUGUUCACAGAAAGAAGUGAAGUUAAAAAACAAAAAAAAACAAAAAAAAAAACCUUGCCCCAAAGCAGAUUUAGUUAAACCAUCAGGUUCAAAAAGAAAGAACUUUGUAUAAAUGAUCCUCUAAGCCUCACUUAGAAUCUCUAUUUCAAGAAAAGCUGGAACCAAACAGGAGAAAUAGUCACUUGAGAUUUCCCCUGAGGCAGUGAAUGCCCCCCCCACCGCCACUGCCCCGUGGCACCCCCAGGCACAAGAGACAGCCUAGAGCACCAUCAGUGUUUCCUCAGAGACAAGAGAAUGGAAUCCAAGAUGCUCUGAAGAAUAAUAAAAGUCACAUGUUCUCUUGCUUCCUCCAAAACUUGAUUCCCGCCCUGGAGGUCACAAUAAGCAUGUGCAAUGUUUACUGAAAAACUCGUUCUCAUUUUCUUGCAGGGGUUGGGGGGGUGGUAUUGGAGAGCCAGGGGAGGGUCCCAGGGUGGGAAGAGCAUCUGAGGAGAUGGGAGAAAAGAAAUGUGUGUCUACCCAUUUUUGCAGCUGGGCCUUUUCAUCAGCCUUCACACUGGACCUUUGCUGCAGGGCCCUAGUCAAGGCAUCACAACGGUCUCUGUGGCUUGUGUUCAGGUCUCUUCAACUCACCCCAAACCUUAGGAGAGUCACCUAUCGGACAAGUGAAUUCAUUGAACUUCACUAAGCCCUUUUUAAAUCAUGAUUCCCCCUUUGAAAUAAUAGCACAUUAAAGGCUAUUGUUUGGCAUUAAAGUUCAAAAUGCAUUCCCUUUUAUCACCAUUCAAUAAAGGGUCAGAUAUCGAGUCAAUAAACCAAAGAGAAGAGCCCCCAUGUGGGAAAGGGCAGUCAGGUGGGUUCUGUGGGCUCAUGCCAGACCAUAGAGUACAGCUAUCAGGAGUAGGGAGAGGCAGUAGGGGCAGGGGUGAAGGGCCUGGGGUCCAGGGUGAACCAGCCUGGGUGCAUGCCCUGUCUCUAUCACCCCUACCCAUCUCACCUUAGACAGCUGACUUGACCGCCCGUGCUUUAGUUUCCUCCUCUGUGAGGCGGCGAUACUCAUAGGAACUACUUUAGAGGAUUGCUGUGAGUAUUAAAUUAAUUACUUACAUAAAAAUACUCAGUAGAUGUGUCAUAAGGGCUUGAAAAAUGUUAUUACUGACUUAUUAUUAUUUUUAGCAAAUGUUAUUACUGACUCGUAAAAUCAAUGUAGGAUUUAGUCCUCAUGAUGGGUACCUUCUGAAAAUGUUAAAGGCGACAUUGGCAGCUUCCUGACAUGGUGAAACAGGCAGUGUGACUGGGCUGGGGCACAGUAUUCACAGCCCACCAUCCCCCUGCCCCCCAGUCAUGCUCAGACUGUCUAAGGGAAACAUGCUAUGGAAAUAUCUCUUGAUCUCCCACCUUGGCAACAUGAGCAGAAAGCCUUUCUCUACUAGUGCUCAGUUUUCAUUUCCUGAAAGAAUAAGACCUUCUCUGAAGGUCUUAAAUGUGGAGUUCUUAAGGGUGGGUGGCUCAGUGGGUUAAAGCUUCUGCU